rnacentral:SRP_RNA from 1 species
GCCGGGCGCGAUGGCUCACACUUGUAAUCCCAGCACUUUGGGAGGCCAAGGCGAGCGGAUGACCUGAGGUCAGGAGUUUGAGACCAACCUGGCCAACAUGGCGAAACCCCAUCUCUACUAAAAAAAAAAAAAAAAAAAAAAAAANNNNNNNNNNUUUAGUAGAGAUGGGGUUUCGCCAUGUUGGCCAGGUUGGUCUCAAACUCCUGACCUCAGGUCAUCCGCUCGCCUU